rnacentral:rRNA from 1 species
GACGAACGCUGGCGGCGUGCCUAAUACAUGCGAGUAGAACGCUGAAGGAGGAGCUUGCUUCUCUGGAUGAGUUGCGAACGGGUGAGUAACGCGUAGGUAACCUGCCUGGUAGCGGGGGAUAACUAUUGGAAACGAUAGCUAAUACCGCAUAAUAGUAGAUGUUGCAUGACAUUUGCUUAAAAGGUGCAAUUGCAUCACUACCAGAUGGACCUGCGUUGUAUUAGCUAGUUGGUGGGGUAACGGCUCACCAAGGCGACGAUACAUAGCCGACCUGAGGGGGUGAUCGGCCACACUGGGACUGAGACACGGCCCAGACUCCUACGGGAGGCAGCAGUAGGGAAUCUUCGGCAAUGGACGGAAGUCUGACCGAGCAACGCCGCGUGAGUGAAGAAGGUUUUCGGAUCGUAAAGCUCUGUUGUAAGAGAAGAACGAGUGUGAGAGUGGAAAGUUCACACUGUGACGGUAUCUUACCAGAAAGGGACGGCUAACUACGUG